AUGUGAUUAUUUUCUCUUCUUCUCAAGGCCGCUUCACUUUCAAAAACUGCAUCUUUCCAUCUCCCAUAUGGUAAUGUAAUUACAAAUCUAGGGGUAAAAACCUCAUCAACAUCAAUUUCAUUGCUCCUUUCUUCCUUUGCUGUCGCACACACACCUUUCUCUCUAUUCCAUUAUGCCUUUGUCCUUCAAUGGAAAGAAACAUCAAAUGAUUAUAUAUAUAUAUAUAUAUAUAUAUAUAUAUAUAUAUAUGAGUAAUGCUAAUACACAUCCACCUUAAUUUUAGAAGGUGUGCAUUAGCAUCAUGCACCUAUUUGUAUUGGACAAAAUUUACCCCUUUCUCUUUCUUCAAUUAUCGUUAAAUGCAUGUCCCUUAAAGUAAUUUUUUAACCCACACCAAUCAAUUUCUUUCUCUUUCUCUCAAAACAAUCCUUCCCGCUCUUGCUUUGUCCAUCUUCUUCUCCAACUUGCCUCUUAAUUCUGUACAUGAAUAGAUAUAAUAAAA
rnacentral:lncRNA from 1 species